rnacentral:rRNA from 1 species
UCCUGGCUCAGAACGAACGCUGGCGGCGUGGAUAAGACAUGCAAGUCGAACGAGAGAAUUGCUAGCUUGCUAAUAAUUCUCUAGUGGCGCACGGGUGAGUAACACGUGAGUAACCUGCCCCCGAGAGCGGGAUAGCCCUGGGAAACUGGGAUUAAUACCGCAUAGUAUCGAAAGAUUAAAGCAGCAAUGCGCUUGGGGAUGGGCUCGCGGCCUAUUAGUUAGUUGGUGAGGUAACGGCUCACCAAGGCGAUGACGGGUAGCCGGUCUGAGAGGAUGUCCGGCCACACUGGAACUGAGACACGGUCCAGACACCUACGGGUGGCAGCAGUCGAGAAUCAUUCACAAUGGGGGAAACCCUGAUGGUGCGACGCCGCGUGGGGGAAUGAAGGUCUUCGGAUUGUAAACCCCUGUCAUGUGGGAGCAAAUUAAAAAGAUAGUACCACAAGAGGAAGAGACGGCUAACACUGUGCCAGCAGCCGCGGUAAUACAGAGGUCUCAAGCGUUGUUCG